AUUGAACGCUGGCGGCAGGCCUAACACAUGCAAGUCGAACGGCAGCGGGGAGUAGCUUGCUACUCUGCCGGCGAGUGGCGAACGGGUGAGUAAUGCAUCGGAACGUAUCCUGUAAUGGGGGAUAACGUAGCGAAAGUUACGCUAAUACCGCAUACGCUCGAGAGAGGAAAGUGGGGGAUCGCAAGACCUCACGUUAUAGGAGCGGCCGAUGUCCGAUUAGCUAGUUGGUGGGGUAAAGGCCUACCAAGGCGACGAUCGGUAGCUGGUCUGAGAGGAUGAUCAGCCACACUGGGACUGAGACACGGCCCAGACUCCUACGGGAGGCAGCAGUGGGGAAUUUUGGACAAUGGGCGAAAGCCUGAUCCAGCCAUGCCGCGUGCGGGAAGAAGGCCUCGGUUGUAACGCUUAGUCCGGAAAGGGGUAGGCGAGGAGUAAUAACCCUCGUGCUUGUAUGGUACUGGAAGAAUAAGACACCGGCGUAACUAACGUGCCAGCAGCCGC
rnacentral:rRNA from 1 species